GACGAACGCUGGCGGCGUGCUUAACACAUGCCAGUCGAACGGGCCCGCUCUCUUUUUUGGGGGUGGGUUGAGUGGCGAACGGGUGAGUAUCACGUGAGUAACCUGCCCCCUGCUCCUGGAUAACUGCUUGAAAGGGCGGCUAAUACGGGGUGUGCCGGCUGGUCCGCAUGGGCCUGGUCGGGAUAGUUUCAUCUUCGGGUGUUUCGGUGGGGGAUGGGCUCGCGGCCUAUCAGCUUGUUGGUGGGGUGAUGGCCCACCAAGGCGGUGACGGGUAGCCGGCCUGAGAGGGUGGGCGGCCAGGCUGGGACUGAGACACGGCCCAGACUCCUGCAGGAGGCAGCAGUGGGGGGUAUUGCACAAUGGGCGGAAGCCUGAUGCAGCGACGGCGCGUGAGGGAUGGAGGCCUUCGGGUUGUGAACCUCUUUCUCCGGUGGUGAAGGCCCUGUCCGUUGCGGCGGGGUUGACGGUAGCCGGGUAUGAAGCGCCGGCUAACUACGUG
rnacentral:rRNA from 1 species